UACGAAGGUGGCAAGCGUUACUCGGAAUUACUAGGCGUAAAGGGCAGGUAGGCGGUCUCGUUAGUCUGUUGUGAAAGCUCCUUGCUUAACGGGGAGAGGCCAACAGAUACUGCGAGGCUUGAGUAUAGGAGGGGGUACUGGAAUUCCCGGUGUAGCGGUGAAAUGCGUAGAUAUGCGGAGGAACACCGAUGGCGAAGGCAAUCCCCUGGGCCUGCACUGACGCUCAUGCACGAAAGCGUGGGGAGCAAACAGG
rnacentral:rRNA from 1 species